AACGUAGGACGCAAGCGUUAUCCGGAGUUACUGGGCGUAAAGGGCGCGUAGGCGGUGUGUCAAGUCAGGCGUGAAAGCCCCGGGCUCAACCUGGGAACCGCGCUUGAGACUGGCACGCUCGAGUUCGGGAGAGGAUGGUGGAAUUCCCAGUGUAGAGGUGAAAUUCGUAGAUAUUCGCAAGAACACCAGUGGCGAAGGCGGCUCACUGGCCUGGUACUGACGCUGAGGUGCGAAAGCGUGGGGAGCAAACAGG
rnacentral:rRNA from 1 species